rnacentral:rRNA from 1 species
GAUGAACGCUGGCGGCGUGCCUAAUACAUGCAAGUCGAACGAAGCGGGGACGGGUGAGUAACACGUGGAUAACCUCCUAUAAGACUGGGAUAACUUCGGGAAACCGGAGAUCAUCCGGAUAAUUAUAGAUAGAUCCUCGCUGCAUUAGCUAGUUGGUAAGGUAACGGCUUACCAAGGCAACGAUGCAUAGCCGACCUGAGAGUGUGAUCGGCCAAACUGGAACUGAGACACGGUCCAGACCCCUACGGGAGGCAGAAGUAGGGAAGCUUCCGAAAUGGGCGAAAGCCUGACGGAGCAACGCCGCGUGAAUGAUGAAGGUCUUCGGAUCGUAAAACUCUGUUAUUAGGGAAGCGGUACCUAAUCAGAAAGCCACGGCUAACUACGUGCCAGCAGCCGCGGUAAUUC